CUACGGGCUGCUGCAGUGAGGAAUUUUGCGCAAUGGGGGGAACCCUGACGCAGCAACGCCGUGUGAGUGAAGAAGGCCUUUGGGUCGUAAAGCUCUGUCAACUGGGAAGAAGUUACUGUGCUUUAAUAGAGUGCAGUAUUGACGGUACCAGUGGAGGAAGCGUCGGCUAACUCCGUGCCAGCAGCCGCGGUAACACGGGGGACGCAAGCGUUAUUCGGAAUUAUUGGGCGUAAAGGGCGCGUAGGCGGUCUUGUCGGUCAGGUGUGAAAGCCCGGGGCUCAACCCCGGACGUGCACUUGAAACAGCAAGACUUGAGUACGGGAGAGGAAAGCGGAAUUCCUGGUGUAGAGGUGAAAUUCGUAGAUAUCAGGAGGAACACCGAUGGCGAAGGCAGCUUUCUGGACCGAAACUGACGCUGAGGCGCGAAGGCGUGGGUAGCGAACGGGAUUAGAUACCCCUGUAGUC
rnacentral:rRNA from 1 species